rnacentral:rRNA from 1 species
CGAGCACGCGCGUGUGGCAUAUCAAUAAGCGGAGGAAAAGAAACUAACAAGGAUUCCCUUAGUAACGGCGAGUGAAGCGGGAAGAGCUCAAAUUUGAAAUCUUCAAGGUUCUACCUUGACGAAUUGUAGUUUAUAGAAGUGUUUUCUGUUAGUGAGUUGGCUAAAGGUUCUUUGGAAUAGGACAUCAUAGAGGGUGAGAAUCCCGUAUUUGAUCAUUAUCUCCUAGCUUUGUGAUACACUUUCAACGAGUCGGAUUGUUUGGGAAUGCAGUCCAAAAUGGGUGGUAAAUUUCAUCUAAAGCUAAAUAUUGGCGAGAGACCGAUAGCGAACAAGUACCGUGAGGGAAAGAUGAAAAGAACUUUGAAAAGAGAGUUAAACAGUACGUGAAAUUGUCAAAAGGGAAGCGUUUGACACCAGUGUUGUUUUCCGAAAAUCAAUUACGAAUGUUUUGUUUUUGAGGAGUUAUGACUUCAUCGGCUUGCUCCUUUCUUUAUGAAACUUUCUUAAUGCACUUUUCGGUUAACAAGUCAACAUCAAUUUCUUUUGUUGUAAAAGGGUAUGAGGAAGGUGGCUUUCUUUUCGGAGAAAGUGUUUAUAGCCUUGUGCCUCUGCAAUCGGAGAGAUUGAGGUCUGCAGCGUAGAUCCUUCGGGGUUAGAUACGUUUGUGCUAAGUUAUAGCUUUUCAUAGACAACUUGUUGACUAUGUUUAGUCUUGUAGCUUACUCGCUGACGCUAUUUUACCUACGCUUAGGAUGUUGAGCGCAUGUCUCUCUCU